UACGGAGGUGGCAAGCGUUACUCGGAAUUAUUGGGUGUAAAGGGCAAGUAGGCGGCUUAGUAAGUAGGGGGUGAAAUACUCCGGCUCAAUCGGAGAACUGCCUUCUAAACUACUAGGCUUGAGUAUGACAGAGGAAAAGGGAAUUCUAGGUGUAAGGGUGAAAUCUGUAGAUAUCUAGAAGAACACCAGCGGCGAAGGCGCUUUUCUGGGUCAUUACUGACGCUAAAUUGCGAAAGCUAGGGGAGCAAACAGA
rnacentral:rRNA from 1 species